CGGUGUUCAACUGGCGUGUCCGCGGGACGUCCUGCCGGUGGGCUUAGCCCGCAAGGGCGGCCCAACUUCAAAUCCCAUCGCGGUGCUCUUCACUGAGUGUCGAGGUGGGCCGGCACGUUUACUUUGAACAAAUUAGAGUGCUUAAAGCAGGCUAAAACUUCGCCUGAAUACUGUGUGCAUGGAAUAAUGGAAUAGGACCUCGGUUCUAUUUUGUUGGUUUUCGGAACCCCGAGGUAAUGAUUAAUAGGAACGGAUGGGGGCAUUCAUAUUGCGACGUUAGAGGUGAAAUUCUUGGAUCGUCGCAAGACGGACAGAAGCGAAAGCAUUUGCCAAAAACGCUUUCAUUGAUCAAGAACGAAAGUUAGAGGUUCGAAGGCGAUCAGAUACCGCCCUAGUUCUAACCAUAAACGAUGCCAGCUAGCGAUCCGUCGACGUUCCUCCGAUGACUCGACGGGCAGCUUCCGGGAAACCAAAGCUUUUGGGUUCCGGGGGAAGUAUGGUUGCAAAGCUGAAACUUAAAGGAAUUGACGGAAGGGCACCACCAGGAGUGGAGCCUGCGGCUUAAUUUGACUCAACACGGGAAACCUCACCAGGCCCGGACACCGGAAGGAUUGACAGAUUGAGAGCUCUUUCUUGAUUCGGUGGGUGGUGGUGCAUGGGCCGUUCUUAGUUGGUGGAGCGAUUUGUCUGGUUAAUUCCGAUAACGAACGAGACUCUAGCCUGCUAACUAGGCGUAUUUUCGACAUCUCAAAGGUCCGUCGUCCCGGCCCUCGGGUCGUGGGCGUGCGCGAUUUUUACUGUCGGCGUACUAUCAAUUCUUCUUAGAGGGACAGGUGGCUUCUAGCCGCACGAGAUUGAGCAAUAACAGGUCUGUGAUG
rnacentral:rRNA from 1 species